AUGGUGUUCCUCAGUGCUCUGGAGAUCUCCAAAAGUUUAGGGAAACUGGCAGCAGCAAUCCUGGGUGGCGUAGACCAGAUCCAUAUCAAGCCAGGGGCCAAGGUGCUCUACCUUGGGGCUGCAUCAGGCACCACUGUCUCCCACGUCUCUGACAUCGUAGGCCCGGACGGUCUAGUUUAUGCAGUUGAGUUCUCCCACCGCUCUGGCCGUGACCUCAUUAACUUGGCCAAGAAGAGGACCAACAUUAUUCCUGUUAUUGAAGAUGCUCGGCACCCACACAAAUACUGCAUGCUCAUUGCAAUGGUGGAUGUGAUCUUUGCCAACGUGGCCCAGCCAGACCAGACCCGGAUCGUAGCCCUGAACACCCACACUGUCCUUCGUAAUGGAGGACACUUUGUGAUUUCUAUUAAGGCCAACUGCAUUGACUCCACGGCCUCUGCUGCCAGCUUGGAGCGGAAGGGGUUCCAGGCACGGUACUCGAUUUUGUCGUCUCCCUCCACAAUUGAGACUCUCUUCUCUCCAUAAACUGAUUCUCCAGGGACCAGAUUCCUGGUGACAAGUGCAUCUUCCUUUCCUCGACAAAUGAAGACACCUUCAUGCAGAUGAGGUUCCACCAUCACAUUCUCCCCCGACUGGUUUCCUCUUUUCCCUCCCCGACCACGACCCCGGUUGCCACCAGACUGGAAACCUCCACCACCUCGUCCUCCUCCUCGGCCUCGGCCCCUAAAGCCGUCACCACGACCUCUGCCCCUGCCAAAGCCUCCUCGGCCACCACCACAACCACCACAGUCACCAAAACCCCUCGGCCACCGAAGCCUCCCCCACGGGGGCUGAAACCUGGCUUCAUGGCGAGAGCUCGGCUCCCUGGCUCAGGACUCUGCGGCAUCCCAGACUACA